AACCUGGCGGCAGGCUUACACAUGCUCUUCGAGCGCCCCGCAAGGGGAGCGGCAGACCGGUGAGUAACGCGUGGGAAUCUACCUUUUGCUACGGAAUAACGCAGGGAAACUUGUGCUAAUACCGUAUGUGUCCUUCGGGAGAAAGAUUUAUCGGCAAGAGAUGAGCCCGCGUUGGAUUAGCUAGUUGGUGGGGUAAAGGCCUACCAAGGCGACGAUCCAUAGCUGGUCUGAGAGGAUGAUCAGCCACAUUGGGACUGAGACACGGCCCAAACUCCUACGGGAGGCAGCAGUGGGGAAUAUUGGACAAUGGGCGCAAGCCUGAUCCAGCCAUGCCGCGUGAGUGAUGAAGGCCCUAGGGUUGUAAAGCUCUUUCACCGGAGAAAAUAAUGACGGUAUCCGGAGAAGAAGCCCCGGCUAACUUCGUGCCAGCAGCCGCGGUAAUACGAAGGGGGCUAGCGUUGUUCGGAAUUACUGGGCGUAAAGCGCACGUAGGCGGAUCGAUCAGUCAGGGGUGAAAUCCCAGGGCUCAACCCUGGAACUGCCUUUGAUACUGUCCAUCUGGAGUAUGGAAGAGGUGAGUGGAAUUCCGAGUGCACAGGUGAAAUUCAUAAAUAUUCGGAAGAC
rnacentral:rRNA from 1 species